GGUCUCCAGGGAGGACCUGAGUUUUCUUCACCCAUUGUCAGGGAGGCGCCAUCGCCCUGGCUUUGGGGCUGGGGCCUCCGGGGAGGUUCCGGUAGGGGCGUUGGAGAGGCCGCUCUUUUUGCAAGGCCCGAGACGGCGGGCCUUGCGCAGGCCGCCCUAUUCCGCGCCCUCAGGGCGUCAGUAUCAGCCUGAGGCUGGAUACCCCCGCUGGGCCCAGAUGCCCCCGCUGGGCCCGGAGCAUCCUCCGGCGCUGCCCUCCCAGAGCCACGCAGAGGCUGAGGUGGCGCGGGGGCGGCCCUGGCUCCGCGAGAAGCGGCGGCAGCGAGGGCUGGAGGACCCGGGCUGCGGGGCUCCGGGGCGUCUGGCCUGGGUGGGACUGAGCCCAUCCAGGGACUGGGACUCCGGGGUUCUGGUGUAGGUGGAUCCGGGGCAGGCUCAGGACCAAGUCCCUCUCCUUCCACCAAGGAGCGCCCAGAGGCCGGCGGGAGCUCCAGGUUCACCUCCUCCUCCUCCAGGAAAUCCCACUUCCAACUGGAUGUCUGGAUGAACUACUGAAAGCUGCUGAGUGUCCUGCAGCAGGUGAGCUGUGGCCAGAGCCCAAGGAUGAAGGGGGCUCCCUCACUCUGUGACUGUGAAGAGGAACCCUGAGGUGUAGCAGGCCCAGGCCCCAGAAGUAUGGAAAAAAUGAGGCCAUUUCCAAUCCAGCGGAAGACCUUCUAGAAGAGAUGAUGGUGGGAGAGUGCUGACAUACUAUGUGAAGCUACUAUUUGGAGUUGGACACGAGUGCAUGUGUCCUUGUGCCACAACGGGAAUCUUGACUACAACACAAAUGAAUCCACUCAAAUGUUGGCAAGUGGAGCAGAGUCCCAGAACAGGUAAGGCACUUUCCCUGCUUUUUCUUAAGAUCAAUCCUCAUGCCUACAAAUUAAAGUCACAUCCCACACGAUCAUUAAAGUAGAGAGUGCAUUCUGCAGGAUGAGUGAAAAGGCAUUUAUGAUUCUUGGGGGCAGAUGUUCUACAGUUGCCUGUGCUAGUUCAUGUCUUUCUGCAGAUCACAUUCUUAACCUCUAGAGAGUCUGGCAGGACCAGAGCCUUACCUUUCCCAGUCUGCAAUCUCUACAGGUACAGAAACACCCCCAGUUCAAGGAUCUUCACACCUGGAUUUAGGCCUACUCCUGCAACUACCCCAGGUAAGUUUCCUUGUUCUUCAAUGGCAAAGUUUGGACAAUGCUGUUCAAACUCCAGGCAACAAGCAACAUCUAGGGAAUGUGCUUUUAGGUAGGGUCAGCAUAAUAUCCCACCCUGGGAGACAUUUUUAUUUUAAAGUUGUAGAGGGUGUUGCUGCUGUCGGCUCCCUGCCAAUCAGCACCAUUUGCAGCCUCUUUUGAAGACAGAGAACUGAGGGCUGUCCUUCGAAUGGAGCAGUGUGAUUCCAAAAAAAGAGAUGCUCCUUGUGGUCCUGGGACCAGGGAUAGGACUCCAGUUGAGCCUGGUGGAAGAGGUCCUUGUCCUACCCCAACGGAGAGCCAUGCAGCUGAGCUUGGGCGAUGUGGUCCACGUGGUUGUUUCUGAGUGUGUCCUGAGGUUGCAGGAUGGCUUGCAGUUCCCUAUGCAGAUCCAAUGCAUCUUUUGCUUUUUUGCUUCUACAACCUGGAAUUUAUAUGUUCAAGAUGGAGCCAUCCCAGCCAUGACAACAGAGAAUGUACCACUCUCACUUGAGGAAGAGGGGUAGGCAGUGCUCCUGUAUCACCAGCCCUUAAUGAGACCCUGAGGAAACCACAUCAUGGAGAUCAGCCCUUCUCUCCUGUAAGGAACUCAUCCUAUGAAAGAGCAAUUAGUGCCUGCAAGAGCUGUCUCUGGGACAGCGGUUCAUGUCUAUAUCUGCAGGGUAACCCUCAUAGUCAUAUGCAGUCAUAUCCAUAGUCAUAUCGGGAGUCAGAUUCCAGUUUGACUGAGUGAGUGGAGAAACUAAACAUUUAUUACUGAAUAAUAACAUUAAUAAACCAUCUUAAUGAUAGUAAUAAUAAACAUAUUGAUGAGUAUUAACAGGAAUGAUGAUGAUUAUUAUGAUACUAAUAUCCAUAAUUAACAAUUUUAAUAUUGAUAAUAAUACAACCCUGUGGACUUGGGACCUAAACAGCAGUUUCCCCUUACAAUUAUCCCAUAUUUGGCCACAGGGGGUAAUGUUGAGUUCCAGAAGGCAAGGAUUAACAUUCAGAAAAUAGGAAAAACAACCUGCAGGUAAGCAUGUGCACACAUUGGGACUCUAUGGAUAAAUACUAAAGUGACUCUUGUUCUGGAUCUCCAUGCUAACAAACAUGCACCAGCUUUCAGGAGGUAGUACAGCUGGCUGAUGGGGCAAGGCUUCUUGAGGACAUGGCAGGAGUCAGAAAUCACACAUGCUGCCCAGCAGCAGAGCUCAUGACAAACAGUAAACCCCAGCGAAAGGACCUGGCUGCCCUUUCUGCCAUCUGCUCUCCCAUGACCUCUCUUGACUGGUACAUCUAGGCACUGGAAUAACCUUCACUGGCUAUAGGAGGGCAUAAUCCUCAGUAUUCUCCCACCUGCAAGAAAGACAAAAAUUAAUUGAAUACCAUGGCUUCUGGGUAUCCUUAGUGGGCUUAGCGUAUUUUGCAUUUGCUUUAACAGGCCAGUUAUCCAGGCAGUGACUUUCAGUGCAGCUACAGUCACCUCUGGAAACCUGUGGAGACUUUAAAAAUUUCCAAAAGGUCAGGAAUUUUUGGAGACCUUUCUCAUGGCUACGUUUCCUGCAAACGUGAAUCAAUAAGCUUCUGAACUGACUUAGAAAAUGUUGCAGAGACUCUUGUGAACAGAUAGACCCUCUCCUGCCACUCAGAUAGAUGUAUCUGGGUCACACACACCUGAUUUAACAUCUCAUUAUCUCAGGUGGGCAACAGACAGCAAUUUAGGACCUAUCCCAGUGUGGAUGAAAGACAUUGAGUUGGCUUAGAAAAAUGUUAGAUAGACUAGAUGGGGCAAGAAAGCCCAUUCUGGGGCUCAAAAGCCUUCACAUAGAGUUGCUGACACAUAAAGGGUAUGUAUAAAUUCUUUCUCAGACCAUGAGAUCAGGAUGUACUUCAUCAGUAUACCAUGCUGGUAUAAAGAGAUUCUUGCCUCCAAAGGGACUCAGAAUAUUUCAGGGAACCUGUAUUAGUCCAUUUUUACACUGUUGUAAAGACACUACCCCACAC
rnacentral:lncRNA from 1 species